UAUCGGCUAAGAUCAAAUGUGUAGUAUCUGUUCUUGGACAGACACUACUAUCAGGUAUAGCAGAUUUGGCUUUGAGAAUGUGUGCCCAGGCCGACCUCCAAUAGACUAACGCAACAAAAUCGUACACGCUGGGGUACGGUGUCGCCACUAGUGGAGAUCAGGACCAUGGACAGACACUACAAGCAAAAAAAAAAAAAAAAAAAAAAAGUUUAACUAAUGUACACUAGAAAAAUGAAAGAAAAAAUGAAAAAAAAGGAGAGAGAAAAAAAAAAUAAUGUAUAUAAAAAAGAAAGAUAGUAUAAACUUUAAAUUAAAUUAAAUCCGGCUCCUGCCGAACUCCCGUAAUAUGUUCAAUGUAUCGCUUCUCGGCCUAUCGGCUAAGAACAAAUAAAAUCUGUUCUUAUCAGCUUAACUGAUUCCAU